AAUAAAUAUUCAUCACUCACUCUGUUUUUGAACUGCAAGAAGUUGAGUUUCUUACAUCAAUUCCUCCUCUGUUAUCUUGUUUUCUCACCAACAAACUUCCCCAUGUUCCCUCGCACCAGGAAGUGACGCUGUUUGUUUUCUUCCAAUGAAGCAGAAAAUUGUUUUCAAAUCUUGCAUCGAUUCCAAUACACAGGUGCUGUCGUUGCUAUGUGUAAGCGUAAUUGGCUAUUAUGGUGUGAUAGCAAUCUAAAACAAAAAGAAUGAGAAAGAGUUUUGUUGUCAUGUAAUUGGUGUCUUUAAUCUUAAUGAACAAAGUUGUGUCACGGUGUUUGGAGAAGUUUAUAAAGGAAAUUUUAGUAAUGAAACCACUGUGGCUAUGACGUGGAAAUUCUGACGAUAAAAUCAAGGAGAAGUUUAUGUUAGAAGUGGGUACAAUUGGUUGAAUUCAUCAUUUCAAUCUUAGUUCGCUCAAUGGAUUUUAGCUUUAAAAGAAACUUGGUAGCACUUGUUUAUGAGUACAUAGUUAAUGAGUCUUUUGAUAGAUAUCUGUUCCAUGAAAACAAGACCUUAGGAUAUGAAUAACUUCAUGUGAUUGGGGCUAGGAUAACUACAAGCAUUUCUUACUUGGAUGAAGAGUGCCAACAAAGAAAAUCUAUAAUGACAUAAAACUAGGAAAUAUUCUUAGAUAGGAACUUCAAUUCUAAAUUUACUGAUUUUAGUUUUGUUCAAUCUAUGGAACUGCGAAAAUACACACAUAACCAUGAUCGAAGGAAGGGACUCCAGGCUAUGCUGCUGAUGAGCUUUAGUUGCCAUUUCCUAUAAGCUGUAACUCACAAGUGUGAUGUUUGAAGCUUUAGCUAGCAUGCUAUUAUAUGAAAUCAUAGGUAGGAGGAGAAACCUUGAUAUAUAUCUUCCUGAGAGUAGUGGUUUCCAAUAUGGGUUCAGAAAAAAGUGAUGUUGGAAAAGCAGAGGAGUUAAUGAUUGUAUGUGGGGUAGAGGGGAAAAAUAAGGAGAUAUAUAAAAAAGAAUGGCCAAGGUAGCUUUACUGUUUGUUUAGUACAGAUUUGAAUCAUGGUCUGUAAUGAGUCUUAGGUGAAUAUGAUGGAUUGUUAAGUUAAAAUUAUGAAGCCUUUGAACCAAUUUCAGCACUUGAUGGACCAACUUUAGCUGCUCAUUCUAACCAAAUGCCAUAGACUUAUACAACCACUUUCUUCAGACUCUUCUGUUAAUGAGCUUGUGAAUUUCAAGGAUUAGUUAUCUGGCAGUAUCUUUUUAGGAGAUCUGAAGGAUGAGAAACAAUUGCGGAUGGAUCCAAUCAUCAAUUAAUAUGCUAUAGAAAUUUAGGGUGUAAUUAGGGCGUAAAGGUAUUAUUUUCCUUAUUUAGGGUGUUAAGAUUUUGGUACGAUGUUUUUGGAGGUUCUUACUUGUAAAUGGGUGUCUUUAUCAUACUUGAGAAUGGCUGUUUCUCAAGGUGCUCAUUAUCAUGAAUAAGUAUUCAUUUAUAUUUAAACUAAAAAAGAAUACAAGCAGAUAUAAAAACUGAUACAGUAAAGUUUACAAGCAUUCCAAAACAAAACAUCACUUAUUACAAAGCACAAGUCUAUGACACCAAAUAUAAAAACUGAUACAGUAAAGUUUAUACACAAAUACAUAGUCUAUUGAAGUAGUCAAAUGUAGUCAUCGACAUCUUGAUAUCCAAACACAAAAAAAUUAUGACAUGUUUUUUCAUAUGUGUCGAACUGUAAUGGGACUCCUGACUAUGUGUCUUCCAUUUGUCCAUCGCAAAUCCCCAAAUAUGUAUUUUCUCCGUCGAGUUACACUCGUUGCCUGCACAAUAACUUGGAAUGUCUUCUUUUCACCAAUUUUCUUGAAACUCAAGGAAUUUGGAACAACAACAAUUUUAUGUCCAGGCAAUUGGACAUUGGCAAAAUACGUGCUUGGUGGCCCAACAUUGGUGACUGUGCGGGUAACAUUUACCACACUAGACAUAAUGUUUGGUAAUGUGAUUGAAGGGUAGUUAAAAUCUGUUAUGCUGUGGGAUCCUGAACAAGUAAAUGUCUUAUUGUUGAGUACUGAAAUGGUUUGUUGGUCAUAUCCAGAAGCACAUAAGAAGUUCAAGUAAUCAACAAUGCUUAGAUCAUAAACAAGCCCAGGAUCAAUUGCACUGUUAGGUUGAACAUGUCCUGAACCAUAAGCAAAUGGAGUUGCUAAUGUUUUAUCAAACGCAUCUCGUAUAGGCCUGUUGGUGUUAUCUCUUGUACUUGCUGCAAGGCCAUAUGUUUAAACAUAAGUUAGUAUCUGCCAUGGAAUGAAGUAUCUGAAUCUAAUAAGACAUGGAUGCUAGAAGUAAACAUAAAUCUACAAUCAUAUACUACCUCCGGUACUUAUUAUAAGAAUUAAAAAACUACCUCACGUCCAUCAAGAAAUAUUGUUGUGCGAGGGAGAGAGAGGGAGGAGGGAGGGAGAGAGAUUACCUGUGGUCAUGAUUGCUGAUUUAAUAGCGGCUGGACUCCAAUUAGGAUGAAGUGUCUUAAUGAGUCCAGCAAUACCAGUGACAUGAGGGCAAGACAUGGAAGUUCCUUGUAGUACAUUAAAUGGAAACCCUCGACGUUUAUCUGAUAACAGGUUAGAUGCACUUGCAAAUAGUGAAUAGGCGGCUAGUAUGUCCACACCAGGGGCAGUUACAUCAGGCUAACAUAGAAAACAAAAGUAAUCUUAUUAAAAGAGUAAGGAAGACAAAUGAGGAGUAUAAUUGAUAAAAUUCCAAGUGUUUUACCUUGAGUAUUGAUGGCUGGACUUGGUUGGGUCCUCUAGAGGAGAAUGAAGCCAUAACCGGAGCUGGCCUUCUUCCAAGAAGUGUUUUAGCUUGGGACAUCCUAAUUGUAUUGAAAUAUUGUAAGUGGAUAAAUGGAAUCGUUCAUUUGUAACAUGAAAUUUAAAAAUUUAACAAUUUUAAAAGCUUGUUACUAUAUAAUGAUGUGUAAUUACCUCACAGUUGUGCUAGCACUCUUGGUGCUUCUUGUUUUUGGUGGAGGAGGUUGUGGACGGCUCACGGAAGACAAAACAUGAGGCUCUGAAAGAAGUGUAUUUCCAUUUUGCUUUUGAUUAUUCAAAAUCAUUCCCUUUGCACCUGCAGAUAGAGCUUCCUGACCCUCUGCAACUGAUUUUAUUUUUCCUUCUCGAGUGCAUACUACUACUUUUCCUUUUACUUUUGCAGGGUCAAGUGUUCCAGGUCUACAAAGUUGACUAAAUAACAUACAAAUAAAAAUGAAGCAUCAGUUGAAAGGAUCAGAGAAAAAGAUUGAUUGGGUGGUAAGUUCACAAAAAGACUUCCUCCCUAGUAAUAAUAAAAAACAAUUAUUUCCACUACAAUAACAUGUAAUAAUAACAAUGACCCUUGAAAUUUAGCUUAGCUUAAGGGCUCGUUUGGCACGCUGUAUUAGGCAUGAUAGUAUAAGCUUAUACAAUACAUUAUGAGUUUAUCCAUUGUUUGGUGAUGACAUUGUAUUGUAUAAGCUUAUCCAUCAAAGUCCCCUUAUACGUUAAAAUGACGUAUUAUUUAAUCCAUCAUGUGAGUGAUGGAUAAGGCAUGAUAAGGUUGUGACGUAUAAGUCACCAUCACCACCACCCUCUAUUGCUGCCAACUUACACCACCAUUGGCACCACCACCACCAUCCGAUCACCGCCGCCGCCGCCACCACCGCCCUACCGUCACCACUGGUGUUGCCACCACCACCACCACCGCCGCCCUACCGCCACCACCACCAUAAUCGCCGCCACCACAACCCUAUCGCCACCACCACCAUAAUCGCCGCCACCACCGACACCACAACCACCCUAUCGCCACCACCAUUGCCUCCACCCUCCACCGUCACCACCACCCUACUAAGUCGCCACCGCCUUACUACCACCACCACACUCUAUCGUCGCCAACACCACAACCACCAUCGCUGCCACCACCGCCACCACCGAUGUUGCCGCCACCACCACCGCCACCGCCCUACCGCCACCACAACCACCACCCUAUCGCCACCACCACCAUAAUUGUCGCCACCACUCUAUUGCCACCACCGACACCACAACCACCACCCUAUCGCCGCCACCACCACCACCAUUGCCUCCACCCUCCACUGUAGCCGCCACCGCCUUACCACCACCACCACCACCCUAUCAUCACCACCACCACAACCACCAUCGCUGCCACCACCACCACCAACCUAUCUCCACUGUCACCACCACCGCCACCAACACCAACCUACCACCAUUGCCACCACCACCACCAACCUACCACUACUUCCAUCACCACCGCCACCACCGUUAUAAUCGCCUCCAUAUUUGAUUUUUAUUUUAUAUCAUUAUUCAAUAUUUCAUUAAACAUAAAAUUGCAUUAAUUUAAACGAUAUGGUAAAUUAUACAGUGUAUGUCCAAACGCUGGAUAGUAUAAGAAAAUUAUCAGGCCUAAUACUAUCAGGUCUUAUACUAUCAGGCCUUAUACUAUACGUCGCACCAAACGGGCCCUAAAUAAACAGACAAUUCUAUGGUAUACAAUGCUAAAAAUGGGUUUACUUAUUAACCGUAUCCUUUACAUGUUAUAUAUGAUAUAUUCUGUGUUAAAAUAUAUUAGCAAGGAAGUAUUUUUAAUGAGUAAACCAAUAAUAAUGAGGGUUGUUAGGUUAAUUGCGAAAGUUGUUCUACCCUUUAUAAUAAUAACUGGAACCAAUAAUAAUAGUAACAAUAAUAAGAAGAAAUUAAGAAGGAUUAUACCGUGCUCGUAGUUUGUUGGUUAUUGUCAUUAACAAUUACGGUACUUCUGAACUCUCUAUCUAUGGUGCUAGCAGCAACUGUGAACACCCAUGGAGCCACAUUCAAGACAGUUCCAGGUGUUGGUCCAUCAUUCCCUGCAGAUGCAACUAAUAAUAUAUUUUUGGCAAGUGCAUGGAAUGCCCCUAUGGAAAUUUCAUCAGUGAAAAUUUCUGUAGAACUGAUAGAAUCUCUGCCUCCAGCAGAUACAGAAAUCACAUCAACACCAUCGCUUAUGGCUUGGUCAAUAGCAGCCAACAAAUCUGCACCAUAGCAACUUGCAGGAUCGGUUAGAGACCAACACACUUUGUAGGAUGCAACUCUUGCUCUUGGAGAUCCACCCUUUGCUGUGCCAUUACCAUUACCAAAUACUUGUGCACCAGGAACAAAAUUUCCAGCAGCUAUUGAUAAUGUGUGUGUUCCAUGACCUACUAAGUCACGUGCUGUUUGCUGCUUUUGGGGAAGUUUGCCCUUGGCUUCUUCAUAAGCUUUGUUGAAGAAUCUUGCUCCAAUUAGCUUCCUAGUUUGUAUGACACAUAUAUAGAUGAAUGAAUCUAGAGUUUAAUUUUUAUGCCCUGAUGUAAAGUUUUUUUACACCGUGAACCAAUCAGAUUUUAAGCAUGUGAGAGAAUAUAUAUUUUUAUUUAAUUUCAUUAACUGAUAUGCCACA